rnacentral:lncRNA from 1 species
CGCGGGGCGGCCCGGGCCGGGGAGACGCGCCGGGAGCCCCAGCACCGCAGCGGUCGGAGGAUGGCCGAGCUUCAUCAGCAAUUGAAGUGGUUGAUAUGUGGACUCUGCAGAUUAUAUAACCUUCCUAAGCACGUGGAUGUUGAGAUGCCAGAUCAACCACUACCCAUGGGUCAGCCCUGGAAGAUUCUUUCUCUAUUUUUGAAUGGGACAAAAGAAGAAGUGACUUCAAAGAAGAGGAAGAAGAGAUGGCUGAACUGUAGAAGACUUAGAUCAUUAUAA